UCCCGAUUGGCUCGGGCAGUCUCGCAUGAAAAAUACAACAUACGAUAAGGGUUGCGCUCGUUGCGGGACUUAACCCAACAUCUCACGACACGAGCUGACGACGGCCAUGCAGCACCUGUCACCUGGCUCCCGAGGGCACCCCAGCGUUUCUGCCGGGUUCCAGGGAUGUCAAGCCUUGGUAAGGUUCUACGCGUAGCUUCAUAUUAAACCACAUCAUCCUCCGCUUGUGCGGGUCCCCGUCAAUUCCUUUGAGUUUUAGCCUUGCGGCCGUACUUCCCAGGCGGCAUACUUAUCGCGUUAGCUUCGUCUCACAGGGGGUCGAUACCCCAUAAGACUAGUAUGCAUCGUUUACGGCGUGGACUAC
rnacentral:misc_RNA from 1 species